UUAAGCCUACGGGGCGCAGCAGUGGGGGAUAUUGCACAAUGGGGGCAACCCUGAUGCAGCGACGCCGCGGGAGCGAGGGAGUACUUCGGUAUGUAAGGCUCUGUCAGCAGGGAAGAGAAUGACGGUACCUGACCAAGAAGCCCCGGCUAAAUACGUGCCAGCAGCCGCGGGAAUACGUAUGGGGCAAGCGUUAUCCGGAUUUACUGGGUGUAAAGGGAGCGUAGGCGGCAGGGCAAGCCUGAGGUGAAA
rnacentral:rRNA from 1 species